rnacentral:rRNA from 1 species
GACAGAGGCCCCGAGCGUUAGUCGGAAUCACUGGGCUUAAAGGGUGCGUAGGCGGACGUGUAAGUGCCUUGUGAAAGCCCCGGGCUCAACCCGGGAACCGCAGGGCAUACUGCACGCCUUAGAGGAAGCUAGAGGCCGGUAGAACGAUCGGUGGAGCGGUGGAAUGCGUAGAGAUCGAUCGGAAUGCCAAGGGUGAAGACAACCGGCUGGGGCUUUCCUGACGCUGAGGCACGAAAGCGUGGGGAUCAAACAGG